GAUGAAUAAAAUAAUAAAAAGGUGUUUUGUUUCUUCUUCAAGCUCAUCUUUAUAAUUUAAGUAGCCUCAUCUCUCCUCUCUCAAAUCAACCCACAACUUCAGCCCACCGUUGUAGCUCGCCAUCCACUCUUAAUGGUAACUUCAGUGAUAAAUCUUUUAUUGAACAUUGUUAUGUGUGUGUGAUAGUGUGAGAACAUGCAGAUGUGAAACAUUCAUCGUGUUUGAUUCGGUGCUAUCAAGAAAAAGGGAAGAAAUGUUGUAUAAUAAACUGGGUUUAUAUAUUUAACAACCAGCAGCAAUUACUUUUUUUUUACGCAAAAUAUUAUUAUAAAAAAGUAUGCUUGCAUAGUUCAUAAACUAAACAUAUGAAUUUGUUUAUUAUGUUUAUUAUACACGGAUAUAAUAAAUAAUAUUAAAGUCUAGACAUGUAUUGUUUUGAUAUAAAAUUCAUAUUAACUACUAUAGUGUAUGCAAUGAAUCUAAUCAUAGUGUAAACAUAUUCUUAAUUAAGUAGUGUGAACAUAAAUUUUGCAUCUAAACUGAUUUGUAGGGAUAGUUUGAGUGUGGAAAGUACCUUUGUCCUUUAGAAAGCUAAUGAUUGUCCUACUACUAGCUCUGUGAAGAUCACACAGUUGGGG
rnacentral:lncRNA from 1 species